UUGACCUUCCAGCCGUUGUUAUAUACUUGUAUUAUUGAGGAUGGGGGCGGUCUGUUCCAAACCUAGCGUGGGAAAUGAUAUCCCGAAUUCUCCGUUGAAAUGUAUAUUGAACCACUGGGAAAAGAUAGGGGGAGACUCACUUCUGAAAUCCAGACUAAUCCAAUAUUGUAACUACCGGUGGCCACUGUAUAAACUGGACAAUCAGGCGAAGUGGCCAGAGAACGGCACCUUAGAUUAUCACACCAUGUUACAGCUGAGGCUGUUUUGUAGAAGAGAGGAGAAGUGGAGUGAGAUGCCUUACAUAGACCUGUUCUUUACUUUAAGAGAUCAUCUGGAAUUGCAAAGGGGGUGCCUACCCAGUCUGUCAAACUCUCUCGUGUUAGCUCCUGGAAAGAAAGGGGAAAGGGAUAGGAGAUCAAAGCCAUGUUGUUCUCGUAGUAUUGGGCAGCACUGUUUGAAGUGCCACAGCCAAUGGGAGGAGGAUGAUGUAGAAAUAAUAGAGGCACCAGAUGCAGGGGAGAGGGGGAUAGAGAACUGGGUUGUGCCUGAUAAGGGGGAAGCACAAGGAGGGGAUGAGCAGCCCAGGGGGAGGCAAGAGUUAAUUUCAAGCCCAGUGGUGGGGAGAGCCCAGGCUGAACAGGAGGAGAGAAAGCAGGAGGUAGGGGAGCAGGAGGUGAAAAAGAAGGAGGUAGGGGAGCAGGAGGUGAGAAAGCAGGAGAGGGAUAAGCAGGAUGAGAGAAAGCAGGAGAGGGAUAAGCAAGGAAAGAAGGAGGUAGGGGAGCAGGAGGUGAGAAAGCAGGAGUGGGAUAAGCAGGAGGCCAUAGCUCAGCUCUGGGCAGGGGUGGGAUCUCACAGCCUGAUAGUGGUGAAGGUACCUUUCUCCCCUGUCGAUCUAGAGGCAUGGAUGAGACUGGCAGGGCCUUACAGAGAAGAUCCAGAGAGGGUAUCUAGGGUAUUUGAAACCAUCCUCAAGACCCAGAACCCAGAUUGGGGGGUUAUACAGGUUCUAUUAGAUACUCUAUUAGACUCCACAGAAAGAGAGAUGGUACUCAGGACCGCUAGGAAAGAGGUGGACAGGAUAGGUACAGCAGGUGCAUUACCAGGAACUGUGGAAGAGCAUUUUCCCUCCCAGGACCCCCACUGGGACCCCAAUACAAAGGAGGGGAGGGCUUUUCUGGGACAAUAUCAACAAUGGAUACUAUUUGGCUUUAGACAUGCAAUGCCAAAAGCAAUCAAUUGGUCUAAACUUUAUGAGGUGAAACAAGAACCGCAUGAGACUCCAACUGCAUUUGUGGAACGCCUAAGGGCAACUGCCAGGAGAUACACUAAUAUCGAUCCGGAAAAACCAGAGGAAGCUGUACAACUGGCUUCCAUUUUCAUAGGGAACUCAGCACCGGAUAUUAGAAAGAAGUUACAAAAGCUGGAGGGAGCAGAGUCUCGUGACCUAGGAGAACUCUUACAAGUGGCUUGGAUAGCUUUUAAUAAUAGGGGAGAAGAGGAAGAAAACAAGAUCCGGGAGAGAGAAAAGGAGAGAGAGCAGAAAGAGAAGAGAUGGGAAAUGGAAUGGGAAGAGAGGAAAAAGAAAUGGGAAAUAGAAAGGGAGGAGAGAGAAAAGAAACGGGAGGUGGAAAGAAAAAAAAGAGAAAGCUGUAGGGAUGCAAUGCUCAGUGCAGCCCUGCAGAGAGCGUUAUUUAUCCGCAGGACGGAGCGGGGCUCUGCCCGCGGAGGGCUGCCGCCGAAUCAGUGUGCCUACUGCAGGGGACUGGGGCACUGGAAACGGGAAUGCCCCAAGAACCUGAAAGGGCCCAAGGUAACCGAGCUAACCCUGCAGCAGGAAUGAUGGGAACCGGGAGCAAAAAUGCCAGCUAAACCCCUGAUUACAAUAGAGCUGGGGGAAAGAGAGAAUUGACUUUUUAAUAGACACUGGGGCUACUUAUUUGGUAUUGUUAUGGACAAUCAAUAUCCAAUUUAAUAUAAAGUAAUUUUAUUUUGCCAUUUUUAAUAAUAACAAUCUGAAAUAGCCACAAUAAAAGAGACAACCUCAAUCCUGGGUUAUUGAAGUUGGGUGAAUGUAGAGAUGGUCACGAAUGAACCAGUCUUCCCCUAUUCAUGAUCGCCUAGAUCCAGUGGGCAGGUUUCAUACAGUUUUUCUCCACCAAGGCAGUUUUAUUGUUAGUUCAUAUCUGCUGUACAUAUUCACGUGUUUUCUUUCUCUGGCCACUUGGUUCUGAAUGCUUCUUCCCGGCUGGAUCAGGCAUCUGAAUGGGGUUCCGAGAAGUCGGCAUUGGGAUGCUGAUAGCGACAUCUCUGGGUCUUCCUCUUCUAGACUGGUAUCAUGCGUUAAUCACCGGAGGAGAGAGGUGGCUCUUCCUUGAUGGAUGGGACAUCUCCUGUUUGGCCAUUCCUAUUGGUUGCUAACCUGGGCUUUGCCCUGCUAUAGUCUGGAGUCUCUACGAUUGCAAAUCAGUCUUGGCAAGCGGGAGAGUUUCCACAGUUUGGUGGGAACCCUCUGCUUGUAAUACGGUUUACAGUUUAUAACAUAUAGAACACGAAUUUAUCUCAAAACACCUAUCACAGUCCCCUACCUCUUUUAUAAACAUGUUAAAUUCGUGUUUCUUUUAAUAUUUUUAACAAACUCUUCUAAUUUCUAUGUUCCACUACAUUACUAACAGUACUUUUUCCACUUUAGAGUUUUUAUACACUGGUUCGCUGAGAGAAAAUCGGGACCCCAAGACUCCCCCUUCCGAGGGAACACUGGGACCAGACAGUUUUGGAGGAAUACCAGAAACAACAGAAAAUGCAGUAAAACACCCUUGAUUUGGACCAGUGGAACUCCAGACCAUUCCCAACAAGCUCAGCCUGUAACUGUUACCCUAAUACCUGGAUCAAAACCAAUAAAGUAGAAACAAUAUCCUUUAAAAUUAGUAACUAGGAGGGGAAUCGAGGAUCUAACUGAAGAUUUCAGGGAAUUUGGAUUAUUGAUAGAAUAUAAGUCAGAACACUCCCAUUUUGCCAGUUAAAAAGCCUGGGAUGAGUCAGUACAGGUUGGUACAGGACCUACAAGCAAUCAAUCAAAUAUUUCUGGAUAUCCACCCUGUUGUAGCCAAUCCCUUUACCCUGUUAACAUCCCUUACAGAGUAUCACCAAUGGUUUACAGUGAUAGGUUUGAAGGAUGCCUUCUUUUGCAUACCUCUUGAUAAGCAAAGCCAGGGCAUUUUUGCCUUUGAAUGGGAAAAUACUCAGACUGGUAGGAAGACUCAGCUUACCUUGGACUGUGUUACCAGAAGGAUUUAAAAAUAGUCUAUUUUUGUGAAGCAACUAGCAAAAGAAUUAGAGACCUGGAAAAAGGAGUCCUCUGAAGGCUUGUUCCUGCAGUAUGUUGAUAUCUUACUAGCAACUGAAACUAAUGAUAAGUGCAUGGAAUUGACUAUCAGUCUUCUAAAUUUCCUAGGCCAGGGAGGUUACGAGGUAUUUUGGGAAAAAGCUCAAAUCAUGAGGCAGCAAUUUACCUUCUAGGUCUGGAAUAAUAGGGUCUGAAAUAAUACCAGGACCAUGGAAAUUUGGAAUGGACAGAAAAGAGGCCAUCUGGCCAAUUCCCUAACCUGCAAUUGUCUGAAAUUUAACAUCAUUCCUGGCUAUGGCUGGAUGGUGAAGAUUGUGGGUUUUAAAUUAUGGACUUCUGGUCAAAUUACUGAGCUUUCAAAAGAGGCCCUGGAAGGACCUUUGAUUUGGACUCCUGAGAGUGAACACGUGUUCUAAAGAUGGCCUUGAUGUCUGCACCUGCCUUAGGACUUCCAGACUUAACAAAGCCCUUUGAGAUUUUUGGCCGGGAAUGACAGCACCUCAUCUCUGGAGUUCUGGCUCAGAAGGUGGGAAACUUCAAGAGGCCUGUGGGGUGCUUUUUAAAACAACUGGAUAAGGUCAGCCAGGGAUGCCCCAGAUGCCUGCGAGCUGUAGCAGUGACUGUUCUCCUCAUCCAAGAGGCCAUGAAAUUCGCUUUGGGACAAAUGAUAGUACAGUAUCCUUCACACACCAUAACCACUGUGUUUUGCCAAAAAGGGGGGCAUUGGCUUUCCCCGGGCUGUAUGCUGAAAUAUCAGACUGUUCUAGUGGAGCAAGAAGAUGUGGAGUUGAAAGUAACCACAGUGGCAAAUCCAGCCCAACUCCUGAACAUCCCGAUGCAAGAAGAGCAGCAGACCCUCGAUCGCCUACACACAGUGGAGAGAGUUUAUGUGAGCUGACCAGACCUACAAGAGGCACCAACUGAAGAUCCAGAGUUCUUUACAGAAGGAAGUGGCUUGGUGCAAGAUGGAAAAUAAAAAGCUAGCUAUGCCAUAGUAACACCAACCAAGGUAACAGAAGCUGCACCACUGCCCAUGGACACCUCAGCACAAAAGACAGAGCUCAUAGUGCUGUGAAGAGCCCUGGAAUUGGCAGCAGGAGGAAGAGUAAACAUAUGGACUGAUUCAAAAUAUGCUUUAAGAGUUGUUCAUGCCCGUGGAACCAUAUGGAAGGAAAGAGGUCUAUUAACAGCACAGGGAUCUCUGAUUAAUAUACACAAGAAAUAUUGUCCUUCCUUGAUGCCACCCAGCUGCCCAGAGAAUGUCUGUACUACACUGCAGGGCAUACCAGCAUGGAGAUUCCCAAAUCCUUGUAGGAAACAGACUUGCAGAUUAAUCUGCAAGAGAUUGCACAAAAAGGCAUCCUGGCAUUAAUACCUAAGAAAGUUUUUCACUCCCAGAAGUUAGCCCUGGAUAUAGUCAGGCAGAUUUAAAAUUAGCUACUUACCUAAAAGCCCAGAACAGGGAGGGUGGAUGGCUGGUAACUCCCAACACCCAGAUCAUAGUCCCACCACAAGUCAUGUUGCAAACUGUCAAGGAGAAAUACCAGCAAACCCACUGGGGAAUCAGUGCUCUGGUGACUGGUCCGAGGACUCAGAUACCAGUGUCCCUAUGACAAAAAGUGCCAUGUCUGUUACAGAAAAAUGCCUGAUACGUCUUAAAAGUAAUCCUUUGAAAUUCAAAAAGACUGCCUCCAUGGAUCACUAAAAGAGGAAACACCUCCAGGGAUUACUGGCAAAUUGUUUUUCCUGAGCUAACACAACAACAACAACAAUGCAGGUUAUCUCCUGUAUUAUUUAUUGGACACCUUUUCCAGGUGGCCAGAAGUUUUCCCCUGUUGCACCAACAAGGUCAGGAAAUUUACUAAGCUAUUCCUCAAAGAGAUCAUACCCUGGUUUUUAGUUCCUAUUGGGAUGUCAUCUGAUAGGGGACCCCAUUUUAUAUCUGAGGUGUUACAGCAACUUAGUAAGCAGUUGGGUGUAAGUUGGGAUUUACAUACUCCAUGGAGACUGCAAUCUAGUGCAAGGGUUGAGUGAAUGAAUCAAACUUUAAAGAGACAGAUUGGCAAAAUAUGUCAGGAAGCUUUCUUAAAAUGGCCACAGCUGUUACCACUAGGCUUGCUAUGAGUUAAGAGUACAGCCCCAAACUAACCUAGGUGAGCCUAUAUGAAUUGAUGUUUGGGGGAUCAUAUUCUGCUGCAAAUUUCCCUGGAUCUGAGGAAUAAUUUAGGAAUCAGGGAAUAGAACAAUAUUUAAUUUUAUUAGGGAAACCCUUGAAUGAACAAAAAAGGUUUGUUGUUCUCUCAGAACCUCUUACCCUACAUGGCCCAGUUCACUCAUUUCAGCCUGGGGAUCACAUACACAUCCAGAUCUGGAUACCUGAUCCACUUCAGGAGCAGUGGAAAGGACCGUAUCUGCUUCGGGUGACUACAAGACCAGCUGUGAAAGUGAAAGGAAUUAACUCCUGGAUACACGGCACUUGAAUUCAGAGGUCUCCCAGCUGAGAGUGGACAGUGGAAAACACUGGACCCUUGUGGCUGAAAAUGUUGAAGACAUCUGUAAACAAUCAGCAAAAUGUAAUGACUAAUAUUUAUGGGAAUUAUUUUGUCUUUAGGUGGAGGUGUUGAAGAAAAUGUAAUGUUGUCUUGAACCCAAGGGUUUGGUGAGAUGCACAAUCUGUCCAGCAUUACAGCCUGCCUCCCUAUCCCCAGUUCAGCAGGGGAACCUGUUCCUGGGGAAUUGUCCCUAUAACUCUGUCAAUGGUGAUUCAAUAUGAUAAUCUGACAUUACAAAACAGAACGGCCUUAGAUCUAUUGCUGACCAAAGAACAAGGGGGUAGUGGAUAUUUAAAACUGGAUAGAAAACGUUGUGUACACAUCCCAAAUGUAACAGAUCUCAAAAGACCACAGAAUGUAGCCAGUUGCUGAGGAGAGCAAUGCUAUCCUGAAACUAAUUGGUUCAAUAAAAUUCUUCAACGAAUAGCCUGAUAGUCCCUGAAAGGAAGGCUGGCUGGAAUGCUGGAAACCAUGGUAACUGCAAUUGUAGUUGUAAUAAUUAUUGCCAUUGCUAUUGGUUGUGUUUGCAAAAUGAUCAGUCAUAAUCUUGCUGGUCUAUAGGUGACUAUAGAUAGAAAUUGAAUUGGAACCUAUCAAAUGGCCUUAAGGAAUUUGAGAUGUUUCAAACGAGGGAAAUGAUACCAAAGGGGUUAAUCCAAUUUCUGCUGUGUGUUUGUACUUUUAGCAAAAAGAAAUGGGGUAUGCAGGAGCUGCUUUCUCAGCAAGGAUAUAUUGAAUUCCUAAAACAACUGGCUUAGGAAUGCAGCUACAGCCAAAACAAGGCUAUAAAAAACCUGAACCUGGGAGCAUAGGGAGGGUUUUAUGGUAAUGGGCACUUAAAAUAUGCAUGUGGUGACUGUAUAUAAGCAAUGCACUUGUAGAGAAUCGUAUGCACAUUGGGUGGAGCUUA